GCUCAGGAUGAACGCUAGCGGCAGGCCUAACACAUGCAAGUCGAGGGACCGGCGCACGGGUGCGUAACGCGUAUGUAACCUACCUAUAACAGGGGCAUAACACUGAGAAAUUGGUACUAAUUCCCCAUAAUGAAAAGUGGUUAUAGAUGGACAUGCGUUGUAUUAGCUAGUUGGUGAGGUAACGGCUCACCAAGGCAACGAUACAUAGGGGGACUGAGAGGUUAACCCCCCACACUGGUACUGAGACACGGACCAGACUCCUACGGGAGGCAGCAGUGAGGAAUAUUGGUCAAUGGACGCAAGUCUGAACCAGCCAUGCCGCGUGCAGGAAGACGGCUUAUGAGUUGUAAACUGCUUUUGUACGAGGGUAUGAAAGUAUCGUACGAAUAAGGAUCGGCUAACUCCGUGCCAGCAGCCGCGGUAAUACGGAGGAUUCAAGCGUUAUCCGGAUUUAUUGGGUUUAAAGGGUGCGUAGGCGGUUUGAUAAGUUAGAGGUGAAAUCCCGGGGCUUAACUCCGGAACUGCCUCUAAUACUGUUAGACUAGAGAGUAGUUGCGGUAGGCGGAAUGUAUGGUGUAGCGGUGAAAUGCUUAGAGAUCAUACAGAACACCGAUUGCGAAGGCAGCUUACCAAACUAUCUGACGUUGAGGCACGAAAGCGUGGGGAGCAAACAGGAUUAGAUACCCUGGUAGUCCACGCAGUAAACGAUGAUAACUCGUUGUCGGCGAGUCGGUGACUAAGCGAAAGCGAUAAGUUAUCCACCUGGGGAGUACGUUCGCAAGAAUGAAACUCAAAGGAAUUGACGGGGGCCCGCACAAGCGGAGGAACAUGUGGUUUAAUUCGAUGAUACGCGAGGAACCUUACCCGGGCUUGAAAGUACUAGGUGCUGCAUGGUUGUCGUCAGCUCGUGCCGUGAGGUGUCGGGUUAAGUCCCAUAACGAGCGCAACCCCUACCGUUAGUUGCCAUCAGCUGGGCACUCUGGCGGGACUGCCGGUGUAAGCCGGAGGAAGGUGGGGAUGACGUCAAAUCAGCACGGCCCUUACGUCCGGGGCUACACACGUGUUACAAUGGUAGGCAGAGGGUCGCUACUCCGUGAGGAGAUGCCAAUCUCGCCUAUCUCAGUUCGGAUGGAGGCUGAAACCCGCCUCCAGAAGUUGGAUUCGCUAGUAAUCGCGCAUCAGCCAUGGCGCGGUGAAUACGUUCCCGGGCCUUGUACACACCGCCCGUCAAGCCAUGGAAGCUGGGGGUGCCUGAAGUUCGUGCGACCUAGGGCAAAACCGGUAACUGGGGCUAAGUCGUAACA
rnacentral:rRNA from 3 species